GGAGUUGAGCUGUCACAGUACAGCAGCAUGAAUCACCUGGUUGUAACAAGAAACGAACUCUGAUGGAGCAGCAGUGUUGUAUAACAUGAUAACGUCAUAAGAUAAUAUUCUAUAGUCUCCGUUUUAUGCAUUUUUAUUGCUAUGAACAAUCCCUUUUGAUUUAUUAUCUCUCUGCUCUUCCAGCUCUGGACCUAACACAUCCGGGAGUAAAGAAGGUUUGGCUGGUGUAUUCUGCAGACAGUCGCCGGUACUUGGACGUGGUAAUCAAGUUUGCGGAUUUCCUGCGGGACGCUUGGGGAAUGGAGGUCGUGCUGGACCGUUGUCAAGUUAAUAACAUCGGACUGGUUGGUGCCGCAACAUGGCUGAACCAUCAGAAGGCUGAGAUCGAGAAAGUGAACGGGACUAUUUUGCUUCUGUGUUCUCGGGGGACACAAGAGAAAUGGCUAGCCAGGCAAAAUUAUGAAGGGAACAAAGUGGCGCUGAGAGAAAACAGGCAUUUAUUUUCCCUUGACCAGGGUGACCUCUUCUCCCUCACCCUCAACUUUAUCAUCCCGGACUUUGAAAUGAAUAUACAAGAGCGUUAUGUGGUGGCUUAUUUCGGCGAUUUGAGCAGCAUUGACAACAUCCCCUCUCUAUUUAAAAUGUGCCCCCAGUACUGCAUCCCGCAAGACCUACAAGAUGUGUUCUUUAGGAUUCAUAGGAUAGAACAGUGCCGUCCUGGAGUUAAGGUCACCGCUCCACAGCAGCAAACCAAAAGUUAUGGCUUCUUGAUGCAAGCCUUGAACAAGUGCAAGGUCUUGGCAGGACGAGCAUCCCAAUUGGUUCCAGAAACAGUGUUUGCCCAAUGAUGGAGUGGAAUCUGACCAUGAAGAUGAAGAUAUUAGCGAAGGUCUUACGCAGCAGCUUAAACCACUUGUGCACAUUCCCAAUUGUUCAAUCUCUAUGAUGAACCCUGUCAUUGCUAAGCCACUCUCUACCAUGGUAACCGACCCUAUUAUUGCAGAAGGGCCUUCAAGCCUCCUGGUCCAGCCUCACGUGCAUGAAGGGGGCUCAAGUGUGCAAACAUGGCAGCCUAUCCUAAUGGAUGGACAAAUCUGCAGACAGGAUCUCCACUUGAACCCUCCGCAAGAUGACAGCGUAUCUGUUGGAGAACAUUACUCUUCUCCGCUCUCAGACCAGGGUUACCUCUCAUUGGAUCUGCUGAGAGAGGAGCAUAUGAAACUUUUAAUGCAGCUGCCCCAGAGUGACCUCCUAGAGAUUCCAGAGGAGGAAGACUACUUGAGGCUGGAGCAAGUGAAGCAUUCUGAGCAGCCAGACCAGGGAUACAUCACCUGGGACUCAAUGAGUAGUCUGGACAGGGAAUCUUUGAUGGCAGCCCAAGUUAAACUGCUGCAGCAGAGUGGAGUCUUGGAAUGAUGCAGUCAAGUGAGGCCACGCACUGUUUGUGAUUACUUCUUACAUGUGCACUUGUAUGUGUGUAUAUUAUAUACUCCUAACAUUUUAUUAAGCGUAAACGUAUGAUGAAAGUGGCCUUCCAGAUGCAGCAGGAACGGGAUUGGUAAAAGAGAUUUGCCACACUUUAAACAACUGUUGCUUGACCACAAAUCCCAAAAAUGCUUUUAAGAAUACAACCGCUUUUUAAGAAUACGGUUGUAUCCUUAAAACGAUAUUGCUCAAUUAAAUCUUUCCAACCUUGUCCACCCCUGUUACAUAAAUCAUGGAUAUCCUCAGCUUGCUUCCCCUUCCACUCCCUUUAUUAUGCCCUAGGUAAUUUGUCCUCAAACCAGCCGAGCCUCUCCUCAAAGCGGCUGUAGGGCUUCCAUGAGAAACACACGAGUCCUGUUCCAAAAUUUAACGCCACUUUAAUCAAUGACAAUAGAUUACAAUCACUUAAUAGGAGGUAAAUAUAUAUAUAUGAUAACUGUAAAUACAUUUUCUUUGCAACUUCAGAGCUGUACAGUGUAAAUAAAAAUACUUUCUGCCACCCGCUCCAAACUGCUCAUCCUUAAAAUAAACUUCAAAUCUCGCAGAUA